CUUGCCACCUUAUGGUAGCUGGGCUUUUUCUUGCUGGCUUUAUCAGAAUCUGGCUAAUCCAUCACCAUCUCGCUCAAGGCACUAUCGUUCCUUCCCAGGAUUGCUGUCAUUGUCUCUUGCUUGGUUUGCUUGGUGUCCCUGUUUCUGCCAUUGCACCCCUAGUCAGGUCUCCAUUGUCAGGAUAUCCUGUUAAAAUUUAAGUCAGAUCACGUCACGCGGCUUAACACUUUCAAUGUUUUCCACUCAUUUAGAGAAAUUAAGUGGUCACAUGGCUUCAGUGAAUCUGCUACCUGCUGCCUCUCACUUUCCUGCACCAUUAACUCUCUGGUCUCACUUUCCAUUGCUCUGCCUCCUGCUCACUCCGGUCCAGAUGCAGAGGGCUUCAUGCUAUUUUUAGGGCCCACCGAUGCCCCUAGAGCAUCUUCUCACCCCAGGACCUUUGCACCUGCUUGUUGUCUCUCUGCGUAUGAGGCUCUUCUCUCUGACCUCCUGAAGGCUUUGACUUAAACACCAUCCUCUUGGUGAGACUUCCCCAGCCCUCUUUCUAAAGUCAUAACCUAUCCUUCUAUUCAUCUCAGCGAUCUCAGUUCCCUUUCAUUUAACACACUUAUCUCUUGUUUAUUCAUCUUAUUGAUUUUCUGUCUCCUUUCAGUGGCAUGCAAGUUCCAAGGUGGGGGCGGCCGAUAUUUGUCUGCUCACUGCUAUAUCUCCAGAGCCUGCAGCAGUGCCUGGCUUCCUACUAAACAUUCUUGACCAAAUAAGAAUUUACAUGGGGAGACAGAGAUAUGCAGAAGUGCCACUGCGGGCAGAAUACAUCAAGUGCUGGAAGAGAGAUUCUGCAACAAAAUACAUAUGCAUCUGGGUAGUGUCAUGCUUUGGAAGACACCCUGAAGUAUAAGCAAAAGAUUCUUUGCUUAAAACAUUGAAACCACCACCAUGACCACCAGCAACAACAAAACCAACAAAACCCAAGACAAACGAGUUUUGUGGCAACAGCAAUAAAAGCCCAGGUCAACAGCGGCAACAAAAAUAAAAGUUUUUAUGAUCCUGUUGAAUCAAGAUACUAAAACAUGAGUUAAAUGAAGAGGCGUGGUGGUUUUAAUGAAGAAAAAUAAAACGAUUUAAGCGUUGCCAGG
ensembl:lncRNA